rnacentral:tRNA from 1 species
GUAUUAUUAGUAUAAUCUACAUUAUAUCACUUUUCCAAAGUGGGGAUCUAUUUGUUUUAGAUAAUAUA